UAUCGAAGAAACCAAUUAGGGCUUAUGAAUUUUCCUUCUUUUCAUGAAUCUCGCUGAGACGGAGGAGAUAAUAGUGAUACGAGGCUUCUAACACGCAUUUCAUUGUAUUUUUUCGUCUUCCUGUCUCCCGCCGGGCACUGCCGCCGGCUACGUCACAUGUGGAGCACGCGACGCCUUAUAAUGAAACGAAAAAUAGAUAAUCGCCAUUUUUAAAUUUUCUAUAAAAAAGGAAGAAAUUA
rnacentral:lncRNA from 1 species